CUGCUGCUCUCUGGUACAGUUCCUCCUCUCACAUGUCAGUGAGGGGAAGUGCUUAGUUUUCUGCUCGUAAUAAAGAGUAUUUUGAAGAGGAGGCUGCAGGAUAGACAAACUUCCUCCUCUGCACUACCUGCACUUCUACCUCCAGGGGAGCAGACAGACCAAGUUCAGAUGCAGCCAGCAGGGAGCUGGAGAGAAGACAGAGAGACGGGCUGAGAGCUGCUCCACUUCCUGCACUGCACAGGAGCUGCUGCACAGCAGAUGUGGGGCAACAGGGAACCAAAGACAGUGAUCUUAAAAAGCCAUGAGGAAUUCGGCUCCUGAUGAAGGACAUGUCAGCAGCACAGUCCAGAUGAUCAGACGGGAUGAGAACAUGUUGAAACGGUCCAGGAACCCGAGACGGAUUAAAAAAUGACAGCAAGUCUUAGCUGCCCUAUGAACACACACACACACACACACACACACACUGAUCGCACUUUAAAUAAACACGCUGGUUUCCAGGAAUGUCUGUGAAAUUCUCUCAUGUCAAUAAAAUACUUCCAAACUUCUGGUGUCUUAUUUCUUUAAUAAAUCAAUCAACAUUCAACCCAAAAUUCAUAAAGUUUUUACAGUUUUGCUCUUUUUCAUUAUUUGAUUCAACCGUUAUUAUUAUAUUAUCAGUUUGUUUGUUUCUAUAUGAAGAUUAAA